GAAGCAGGCCAGACAAUCGCUGGUUGCCGUGCUCACACGGUGACGGGAGGAAGGUCCGGACUCCAUAGAGCAGGGUGACGGCUAACGGCCGUACGUUGAAAUCCAAGGCGCAAGCUAAGGUAUAAGGCGAGGAAUAGGGCCACAGAGACGAGCGUAUUUAGUUACGGUGAAACGCGGUAACCUCCACCCGGAGCAAUUUCAAAUAGGCACGCGUUGAGGUGGCUCGCUGAGCGUGCGGGUAGAAAGCUUGAGCGGCGGAGUAAUCCGUCGCCUAGAGGAAUGAUUGUCAUAGCGUGAUGCAGCGAUGCAAAGCGCCGUAACAGAAUCCGGCCUACCGGCCUGCUUCAUUU
rnacentral:RNase_P_RNA from 1 species